rnacentral:rRNA from 1 species
UACGGGGGGUGCGAGCGUUGUCCGGAAUCACUGGGCGUAAAGGGCGCGUAGGUGGCGUCGUAAGUCUGUGGUGAAAGCCCGGAGCUCAACUCCGGGUCUGCCGCGGAUACUGCGACGCUUGAGUGCUGUAGAGGGGGGUAGAAUGCCGGGUGUAGCGGUGGAAUGCGUAGAGAUCCGGCAGAAGACCGGUGGCGAAGGCGGCCCCCUGGGCAGUAACUGACACUGAGGCGCGACAGCGUGGGGAGCAAACAGG